GAUGAACGCUGGCGGCGUGCCUAAUACAUGCAAGUCGAGCGAACAGACGAGGAGCUUGCUCCUCUGACGUUAGCGGCGGACGGGUGAGUAACACGUGGAUAACCUACCUAUAAGACUGGGAUAACUUCGGGAAACCGGAGCUAAUACCGGACAAUAUAUUGAACCGCAUGGUUCAAUAGUGAAAGACGGUUUUGCUGUCACUUAUAGAUGGAUCCGCGCCGCAUUAGCUAGUUGGUAAGGUAACGGCUUACCAAGGCAACGAUGCGUAGCCGACCUGAGAGGGUGAUCGGCCACACUGGAACUGAGACACGGUCCAGACUCCUACGGGAGGCAGCAGUAGGGAAUCUUCCGCAAUGGGCGAAAGCUUGACGGAGCAACGCCGCGUGAGUGAUGAAGGUCUUCGGAUCGUAAAACUCUGUUAUUAGGAAAGAACAAAUGUGUAAGUAACUAUGCACGUCUUGACGGUACCUAAUCAGAAAGCCACGGCUAACUACGUG
rnacentral:rRNA from 1 species